AGAUAAUUUAAAAUACAAAUAUAACACACAUAUGUGGAAAAACACUGAAAAAUGUAUUCUAUUUUUAUUUCAAGGCAACAGUUUCACAUACUUGGAGUGCUUCAAACAUGACCAUUUUCCCCUAAUCAGUACAAAGAAAUCCAUAUUUGCGUAUCGCUUAUUCACGAACAUUCCUUGAUAAAUGCGCCUUUAUAUGAAGGACACAACACCUGUGCUACAUUAGUCAAGAACCUUCGAAGUAGCUGAAGCCACAAUGUUCUCCAAAGACAAACUUUCUUUGCUGUUUGCGGUAGCAGUUUCUGCAAACAUUUUAGUCCUCUCCAGGGGUGCAGCUGUGGAGAAUCCAAUUCAGGCAGACCCUCUAGCACCGAACAUGCCACCCAAUGCUGCCAUUUCAUCCGUUUCCGCUGCAUCUGACGCAACCCAAUCAUCUACAGUGGCAGUUUCUGGGUCGGCAGUCAACUCGACUCAGAGCGUUCCAGGGAGUAGUGAAAAUUCAAACCCAGAUCCUUCCAAAACCGUAACUCCCUUGAAAUCUUCCACUGUUACCCGUCAAGCAGUAUAUCCUCGAGGAAGUUUUCCGGAUAUGAUACCUUCUAGAAACUCAACUCAGAAAUUUCAACCAGACAAAAUAACUGUAUUAGGCCAGCAUUUGUAGUUUCUGCCUUAGUCGAUUUAGAUAAUGUUACGGUUAUGGGCUAGUUUUGUUUUUUGUACUGCAUGUAAAAAAAUAUAGAAUGUUCUCUAUGC